UACGAAGGUGGCAAGCGUUGUCCGGAAUUAUUGGGCGUAAAGCGCGCGCAGGCGGUCCUUUAAGUCUGAUGUGAAAGCCCACGGCUCAACCGUGGAGGGUCAUUGGAAACUGGGGGACUUGAGUGCAGGAGAGAAAAGUGGAAUUCCACGUGUAGCGGUGAAAUGCGUAGAGAUGUGGAGGAACACCAGUGGCGAAGGCGACUUUUUGGCCUGUAACUGACGCUGAGGCGCGAAAGCGUGGGGAGCAAACAGG
rnacentral:rRNA from 1 species